rnacentral:rRNA from 1 species
UUGCCAGCAGCCGCGGUNAUNCAGAGGUCNCAAGCGUNUGUUCGGAUUCACUGGGCGUAAAGGGUGCGUAGGCGGCCAGGUAAGUYUGAUGUGAAAUCCCGCAGCUCAACUGCGGAACUGCAUUGRAUACUAUYUGGCUMGAGGAAUGGAGGGGAGACUGGAAUUCUCGGUGUAGCAGUGAAAUGCGUAGAUAUCGAGAGGAACACCAGUGGCGAAGGCGAGUCUCUGGACAUUUCCUGACGCUSAGGCACGAAAGCCAGGGGAGCAAACGGGAUUAGAUACCCCGGUAGUCCUGGCCUUAAACGGUGCGCAUUUGCUGUGAGCGGAAUCGACCCCGCUCGUGGCGAAGCUAACGCGUUAAAUGCGCCGCCUGGGAAGUACGGCCGCAAGGNUAAAACUCAAAGNAAUNGACGGGGGCCCGCACAAG